AUACGUAGGUGACAAGCGUUAUCCGGAUUUAUUGGGUUUAAAGGGUGCGUAGGCGGUUUGCUAAGCGGGAGGUGAAAUGCCGGCGCUCAACGUCGGAAGUGCCUCCCGAACUGGUGGACUGGAAUGACUCUGCCGUGGGAGGAAUGUGUAGUGUAGCGGUGAAAUGCUUAGAGAUUACACAGAACACCGAUUGCGAAGGCAUCUCACGAAGGGUUGAUUGACGCUGAGGCACGAAAGCAUGGGGAUCAAACAGGAUUAGAUACCCUGGUAGUCCACGCAGUAAACGAUGAUGGCUAACCGCUGGGCUUAUCAGUUCAGUGGCCAAGCGAAAGCGAUAAGCCAUCCACCUGGGGAGUACGACCGCAAGAUUAAAACUCAAAGGAAUUGACGGGG
rnacentral:rRNA from 1 species